ensembl:lncRNA
GAACAAUCUAGCAGGAGAUGGCCCAUAUCUAUGGGACUGAUUUGUGCUAAUAACGCCCAUUGUAUGGACUGAUAACAGCCGAAGCGAGAAGGGUCUUGCUGCAGCCACUGUGGAGCUCCACAGUAACCGGAUACACGUGACCUCCACAGUAGCCGGAAGCACGUGACCUCCACAGUAGCCGGAAACACGUGACCUCCACACUAGCCGUAAACAUUCAUGGAUACCGUGGAAGUCUUGCAAGUUGAUCACAAAGAUGCACACAUCAAUCUGAAAUUCGGGCUUAAAGCCAGAAUUGCAGGAAUGCAACACGUGUUGCAGAGGACUCUUUCACUGCCCUCUGUGCCCCACUUUCAGCCCUACUGUCAGGGCAAAGAUUGAGGAGCAUCUCAGUGUGCAUAUAAAAAAUGCUUUGCCUUUCAAAGAUAAAAUGAUAUGCCGGUGCAGGCUGCCUUGUAGGACAACAGGACACUUUCACCGCCCUGUCUGUAAGAUUACAAUCAUACGGCGUGGGGAUAUGGCAAGGCAUUUAUUGUCUUGUCAGCAUUCUUCAAUGCCAAGUCAGCCACCAUUAUCAGGACUGCUCCCCGCUGAACUCUCCGAGGAGACCCGUAUUCCUCCGGCAGUACUCUUCGAGGAGCCCCGUUUCCCCCCCCAAGCUGAUGGAAAGUCCAUGAAAAUGACAUGCCCUCACUGUGGCCUUACUCUUCAUAGCUCUGGCAAGCUAUUUGCACACUGGAGAGAGGAAGCCAAAGCUGUGCUUGAAGGACAACACGUGCCCAUUUUCAGACUGAAAAAGCGCAAGUUCCAGGAAGUCAGUCAGGAGCCAGCAGUUGUUGAAGAUCUGCGUCCUGCUGUGCCUUAUUUUGGUUGUCCAAAAUAAGGCACUUUUCUGUGGACAUGUAACAAUGCCCAAAUAUGUGUCCUUAAAUCAAGAGCAGAGGGUCUUAAUAGACAUGUCAGAGGAAGAAGACACUGGAGCAAGGGACUUGUUCCUCUUUGUUUUUCAGUUUGCAGAGGACAUGGAGCUCUUUUUGAAAGCAUGUGCUGAUGAUCAGGGGCUAAGGGUCAGUGCUAUGUUUGACAUGUAAUGGACAAAUGAAGGCACUGGCUGUGUUUGUUUGUUUGUUUAAUAUGUUGUUGUUGUUGUUGUUGUUUUUUUGUUUUGUUUUUUUGCGUAGUACAAAAUUCCAAUUAAACUUAUUUCAAAAUGUUGUUCACUUGAUUCUGUGUCCAUACUUAUAAUAAAUGAUUACAGUGAAACAGCAUUAAAUGUAAAUGUAACAGCAUUUUUUUAAACUUAUAAUUUCAAAAUAAAAAGCUUAUUAUUGAU